UACAGAGGGGGCAAGCGUUGUUCGGAAUUACUGGGCGUAAAGGGCGCGUAGGCGGCCUUCUAAGUCGAACGUGAAAUCCCCGGGCUCAACCCGGGAACUGCGUCCGAUACUGGAAGGCUUGAAUCCGGGAGAGGGAUGCGGAAUUCCAGGUGUAGCGGUGAAAUGCGUAGAUAUCUGGAGGAACACCGGUGGCGAAGGCGGCAUCCUGGACCGGUUCUGACACUGAUGCGCGAAAGCGUGGGUAGCAACAGG
rnacentral:rRNA from 1 species